UGGGGCAUCGCCAAGCGGUAAGGCAGCGGGUUUUGAUCUCGCCAUACCUAGGUUCGAAUCCUAGUGCCCAGCCA
rnacentral:tRNA from 1 species